rnacentral:tRNA from 1 species
AGCGGCGUGGCUCAGUGGAAAGCGCACGGGCUUGGGAGUCAGAGGACACGGGUUUGAAUCCCGACACCGCCA